AUCAACAGCUCAUCGAGCACCAUAUGGGACGGGGCGAGGGGAUUGGAUUGGGGUUAAGUUUUAGGGAUGAUUUGUGUUUGGAGUUAAUGGUGGUUAUGAAGGGGCAAAGUUCAGGCUUAUUGGGACCAAAUUUAGACCCACCAAUCCUAAAUUGAACGAAUUGGUACAAAUGAAUUCAAAAUGACAAAUCGUUCAUGCAAAGCAUAUCUGAUGCUUACCUGUUCAACAACAGGUUGAAUAUUGCUAUGGAAAAAUGUUACAUUGUCUGGUAGAAACAAGUAAGUUGCCCAAUUUCCGAUUUUAUCCCUUAUAGCAAAUAAUCUUAUCCUCUUCUUUGACUAAACAAGUGGCUUUUGUUUCUCCUCAUAAUAUUUACAUAGAUCUUAUCCUCUUCUUUGAUGACGUUCACAUAACCACCAGUGCUAGAAUCAUAUCUUCUAUAAACUUACAUCUUAGUUUCUUUAGCAUUGUUUCAUAUAAAUUUUCCCCAUCAAGUAAAUUGUCUUACAGCAGAAUCCUUCAAGCAUACCGUCAAUGACGUCUUCUUCAACUUCACCCGUUGCAAAGAGCUUUAAGUAUGAUGUAUUUUUGAGUUUUAGAGGUGAGGACACUCGUAAGAACUUCAUCGAUCAUCUUUAUUAUGCUCUUCAGCAGAAAAGCAUUUCCACUUACAAGGAUGACGAGAGGAUCAAAAAAGGGAAUAGAAUCAGUGAUGAGCUCAUGGAAUCCAUUGCAGACUCAAAAUUCUUCAUCAUUGUUUUCUCCAAGAACUACGCAUCUUCAUCUUGGUGCUUGAAUGAGCUUCUAAAGAUAAUGGAGUGUCACAAAUCAACCCAGCAGACUGUUUACCCUGUCUUCUAUGACGUGGAACCCUCUGAAGUCCGCAGUCAGAUUGGGGCAGUUGGAGAAGCCUUUGCCAAACAUGAAAAUGAAGAGGCUGCUGGGAAAUGGAGAAAGGCUUUAAAAGAAGCAGCUGAUGUGGCCGGAUGGGAGUUGAAGAACACUGCUGAUGGGCAUGAAGCUAAAUUCAUCCGACAAAUUGUUGAAAAGCUUUCACUAGAGUUACGUGCCAUCAAUGUCCGCAUUGAUAAAAAUUUAGUAGGCAUGGAGACUCGGAUCAACGGUAUUAUAUCAUCUUUAGGAACUGCUUCAGAUGAUGUUCACAUGAUUGGGAUCUGGGGGAUAGGUGGUGGUGGGAAGACAACUUUGGCCAGAGCGAUUUUUAAUAAAAUAUCCUUUCAGUUCGAAGGCAAAAGCUUUAUUGAGAAUGUGAGGGAAGUUUCAAAAGCUUCAUUGUCCGGAUUGAAUUCGUUGAAAAGUCAAAUCCCUUUAAAUGGUGGAAAGGUUCUUCUUGUUCUAGAUGAUGUGGAUCAUCUAAACCAGCUUGAGGUAUUAACCGGUGACCCUAGUUGGUUUAAACCGGGAAGUAUAAUUAUCAUUACAACAAGAGAUGAGCAAGUGCUAGUAGCACAUGGAGUAAAGUUUAUUCAUAAUGUCAAUCUGUUAUCAGAUAAGGAGGCAAUUUGGCUCUUUAGUAGGUAUGCAUUUGGGAAAGAGAUUCCAGUUCAAGGAUACGAAGAGCUCUCAAGACAAGUUGUAUGUUAUGCUGCUGGUCUUCCCCUGACAAUCAAAGUUUUGGGUUCAUUUCUCUGUGGUAAAAGUAAACCUGAAUGGGUAGAUGCCCUAGCCAGACUCAAAACAAUUCCAUUAGAGGAAACUCAGAAGAAGUUGGAACUAAGCUAUAUCAGUCUUGAUGAAGAACAUAAGGAAAUAUUCCUAGAUGUUGCAACCAUCUUAAAAGGUUGGCUGAAAAACUCGGCUAUUGAAGCACUUGAAAGCUGUGGAUUUUAUGCUAGAAUUGGUUUAAGAGUUCUUGAGCAAAAGUCUCUCAUAACUAUUGAUGGUGAUGAGUGUUUGGGCAUGCAUGACCAUUUAAAAGAAAUGGGCAGGAAUAUUGUUCGUCGUUCACACCCCAAUAUGCCCAACAAACAUAGCCGGUUGUGGGUUGGCAAGGAAAUUGAAGAUAUAUUGGCUAAUGACAUGGGUACUGAAGCAACAAGAUGUAUAAAAUUCUACUAUAGGGGACUGGAUCCGCAAAUCACAAUGAAAGGUCUUAGAAAGAUGAAAGAACUUCAGUUUCUUGAUGUGACUGAUAAUAAAGUUUACCCAAAUCCGAAAAUUAAUAAACUCAUCCCAAACUGUCUAAAUGGUUUAGAAGUUGUAUGGCGUAAUUGGAAAUCUAAUAAAGUUAGCCUGUACAUUCCGGAUGCGUUAAGAUAUUUGCGGUGGUACAAUUAUCCUUUUAGGUCUUUACCCAAAUCAUUUCAAGCAAAUAAUCUUGCUGCACUUGAGAUGGCUGAAAGCGGUAUCGUACAGCUCUGGAAAGGGGGAGAAAAAAAGGUUCUUAACAAGCUCAGAUUCCUUCUCCUCAGUGGUCCAAAGUUGAGGUCCCUUGACCUUGGGUUGACUCCAAAUCUUGAGACAUUGACGCUUGUCAAACAUGUACAUGGACCUGGAGCUGGUGGUUUGGUAGAACUUCACAUGCCCGGUGAAUGUCUAAAACUCAGAUUCCUUGAACUUGAUCAUGUAAAGUCGAGGAUGUUUGACCUCGGGCUGACUCCAAAUCUCGAAAAGUUGUAUCUAAGACGUGAUUUGGUAGAACUUCACAUGCCAGAUACAUGUCCAAAUCUCAUAUCCCUCCAUUUCAGCUUUUCAAACUUGAGAACCCUUGACAUUGGACGGACUCCGAAUCUCGAGGAUUUAUAUGUGUCCAGUUGUUAUGAUUUGGAAGAACUUCACAUGGCCGAUAAAUGUUUAAAACUCAGAUCCCUCUGCCUUGUUGGUUUAAAGCUGAGGACCCUUGACAUUGGGUCGACUCCAAAUCUUAAGAGGCUGGAUCUUCAGGGAUGCAAUGAUUUGGAAGAAUUUCACAUUGCCGAAUCUCCAAUGCUCACAUUCAUCAAGAUUGAGUGUUUAAAGUUGAGGACCCUUGAUCUCAGUUUGGUUCCUAAUCUCAAUAAGCUGUUUCUUUCUGAAUGCAAAGAUUUGGUAGAACUUCACUUGCCCGGUAGAUCUAUAAAUCUCAUCACCCUACAAUGCACUAAUUCAAAGUUAAGGACCCUUCACAUUGGGCUGUCUCCCAAUCUCACUGGAUUAUAUCUUACAGAUUGUUAUGAUCUGGAAGAACUUCAACUGGUCGAUCAAUGUCAAAAGCUUGUAUCCCUCAAAAUUAGUAAUUCAAAGUUGAGGACCCUUGACCUUGGGUUGACUCCAAAUCUCGAGAAGUUAAAUCUUAGAAAAUGUUAUGACUUGGUAGAACUUCAUGCUCCCAUUGGAUGUCUAAAAAAUCUUGUCCACUUAGACUUAAGCGGAUGUUUGGCGUUUAGAUCUUUUUUGUUUUGCUUAACAGAUAAUACUGCUGGUCUAGUGAAUGAAUCACUUAAAGUUCGUCCUUUAGCUGAGUUAUGUUUUACCCUAAAAAUAUGCCCAUUUCACCCCGACAAUCAUUUGCUGAAGUUUGAGUUUAGAUGUUUUCAUGAAGAAGAUCUACCCUCAUUGACUAGAAGUCUUGAGAAGCUUAUUUCUGCACGUCCAUGUGCUUGCACAAAACUUGAGAAGUUUUCAAGAAGCAUUUGUAGGUUACAACGUUAAAUAAAGCUUAAACUCAAUGGUAGUAAUGCAUAGGUACCCAAGAGGAGUUAUGUUUGUUGUCUACAUCUUCUACACAUAAGUCUUAUCGGCUUUUGAGAAGUUACCCAAGGACAUAUUGUGAUUAGAGAUGUCAGAUUUUUAGAGCAGCAAGAUUUGUUCCAGAAAUACUUUUUUAUAUAUGUUGGAACAUGUAGAGAGGGCUUCUUUCGGUCGUGUGAUUUUACAUCCACAGCAAGCAGGAACUAUUCUACAAGGAAGAACCCAUGCCCGUGUUAUAGUUUUAAGCUUGGCUUCAGAGAAUAGCUUCUUUAUCAUUUGUGUUAAAUUUGGAGCCUUAUUCGAGUUUAAAAUCAAAUCCAAAUGGUGAAGUAAGAAUCAGAUGUUGAAAUUCUGACAACUCAGUGUUGAUUUCAUGUAAAUUACCACACAGGUAAAAGUAGUAUACUAUAUUCCAUCUUCAUUUUGCAUCUUUUGCAUAUGAAAAUGUAUUCAUGUUACUAUUUGUCCUACUAACAUCUGAACCAUUUCCUGCAAUUAGGAGUUCUGGGAAGUGGUCUACACUCUACACACAAGAUGAUUUGCCCAACUACUUUUGGAAACUAUUUGGCUUACUUCAGUCUAUGUAAUCAAGUUUCUUUAACCAUCAUACUUUCCAAUUAAUUGUUGUUCUUGGAACAGAACCUGGGGAUUUGGUAGAAAUUGAUGGACUAAUUAAGUUGAAGCAGUACAAGGUAUUUGAUAUUGGUAUACUUAUCCUUGUUAUGGAUAUUUUCAAGCUAGUAACCAUGUGUAUGUAUUGUUUAUGUUAGCAGGUACUGAGUUUAUGACCUUUGGUAAACUACAGGGACCAUUUAUGUAAUUUCGUCUUAUCAAAAUAAUCCAUGCUCUUACUGAAUUUAAUUAAUCACGACUGUGUUGUUUUUUGUUAUUUUCUUGUUUCCAGAUUUCAUUUGACCCCACCUAGGGUUUAAGUUACGUUUGAUUUGGUGGUGUGUGUUUAAUGCAUUGCUUGAAGUUGCUACAUGUCUUAAAGAUAUAUUCUGAUUUGUUAGCUACAUUCAAUAAAGUUUUAACUCUCUAUACAAGGUUAUGUGCAUUGAUUGGUGUCUGCUAGACUGCUACGAAGACCUUCACUAAACUUGUUGCUAAAGUAUAUUAAGUAAUAUUUACGUGUGCUUAAACUGCUGCCGUGAAUCUUUAAUUAGGGUUGUAAAUUUUCUUCUAUAAGAAAAAUAAAG